UCCUCGUUAGCUCAAUUGGCAGAGCAGUCGGCUGUUAACCGACAGGUUCUUGGUUCGAGUCCAAGGCGGGGAGCCA
rnacentral:tRNA from 1 species